rnacentral:rRNA from 1 species
GACGAACGCUGGCGGCGUGCCUAAUACAUGCAAGUCGAACGCUUUUUCUUUCACCGGAGCUUGCUCCACCGAAAGAAAAAGAGUGGCGAACGGGUGAGUAACACGUGGGUAACCUGCCCAUCAGAAGGGGAUAACACUUGGAAACAGGUGCUAAUACCGUAUAACACUAUUUUCCGCAUGGAAGAAAGUUGAAAGGCGCUUUUGCGUCACUGAUGGAUGGACCCGCGGUGCAUUAGCUAGUUGGUGAGGUAACGGCUCACCAAGGCAACGAUGCAUAGCCGACCUGAGAGGGUGAUCGGCCACACUGGGACUGAGACACGGCCCAGACUCCUACGGGAGGCAGCAGUAGGGAAUCUUCGGCAAUGGACGAAAGUCUGACCGAGCAACGCCGCGUGAGUGAAGAAGGUUUUCGGAUCGUAAAACUCUGUUGUUAGAGAAGAACAAAGGAUGAGAGUA